ACCAGUGCUCCUUGUAAGCAAGGACAAGGCCGCGGGGACGCACGUGAUAAGGAAGACUCGUGUCCUUGUGCUCGGGACCCAGCCCCGCAGUCUGUAUCACGGACAGCGCACGGGGUCUGGCCUCCAGGCAGCCACGGCGUGGCUCGGGGGACAAGAUCUCCCACCUGGGGCCGAGGGCAGCACAGGACAGCAUGCGCUGGAACAAGUGGUGGCCCUGAGGCCAGUGGGUGAGCUCUGGGUGAACGUGGGUCCUUCCUGGUCUGGUGCUUGGAGGAGGAAGCUUUCCGAGCAGGGCGGCCAGCGUGGCAUGUGGGACUCCCCGGAGGUCAAGAGGGGCCAGCCCCGCCCCCCCCGCAGCCCCUGGCAAGACGCCUGUGGAUGAGAGCCACCAUGGGACCCUGACUGCCCUGGAAGAGGCCAGCCUGCCGGGAUGUUCUGUUCUUCCUUAAAGACACACGCACGUGAACACGCUCCCACACCCACACGUGCACGCACAAAUGCAGGAAGCAGCCCUGACCCUCACCCUCCUGCUUGCUCCCCUUGGGUCUCCAGCCUCCAGGGGACCCCUCUCGAGGGUCUGCUGACAUCCUGCCACCCUAGUCUGCCCGGACUCCUCUCCACCUGUCUGGAAGACAGGGCCGCUUCCUGACAGGUGUUCCUCUGCCUUCCACAUCCUGGAAGCUUCCCCAGGGCUGAAAAUGCCUGGUGAGUGGCAGGCCAGCCUCAGGUGGACUAUGUGGGGCCUCCACGGUCCAGAGGUUUCCAGCUGGUGUCCCGCUCAGUCGUCCGAUGGCCAGUCGCCCGUGUCCACCUUGGAGCUGAGUUGGGCCGGGAGAUAGCAGAGUGGGAAGCCCAGAGAACGUUCUAGGCGGGCCUGCCAGGGACAGGGAGUGAGCGCCUCUGUCUGGGAGGCCCGUGGGAGGCUAUUGGUCCAACGGCACUGCCAGAGGACGUGUGUGAAUCCCAACUCCCGAGGCAGACGGCUUCGGAGGUGUGGGCCACCGCCUGCCUCUGACGCGGCUCGUUCUGUUCGCCUCUGCUUCCUGGCCCGCUGCGGGUGGAGUCCCCUGCCAGGAACGAUGGUGCCACCUGGCUCCGUCCUCGACGCUCUGACGUCUGCACUCCGCCGUUUGGGCCAAGAUGGAAACCAAGCGGAAUGUUCCCGACGUGGGAUCUCCUUGUCCCACGGUCCCGUGGCACCCGAGCCACGUCGAGUGGGAAGGAGAGCCGUCCCUCCCCGGGUCCUCCUUCCCCUCUGGGAGCCUCGUCCACUGUUGGUUUUGGGGGAAAGUGGAGUCUGCAGAACUCUCUGGCCCCUUACGACAGACAGGCAGGAGUGGUGAGACGAGGGCUCAGGUGGUCUGAGUCCUAGCGGGGGCUGAGGACCACACACGGAUCCCCCACCACCUCUACGUGGCUCACACCCACCCCAGCCAUCUCCCACCACAGUACUUCCGGCACCCCACCCCCCGCCCCCCACCGGCUCUAUGGCUGGGACCACGGGCCUCCCCCUGCCCCCAGGACCCUGCUGGGAAGUCGGGAAAGUCUGGCCCCACACCAACCGAAACAUGACCCCGGAAGCCCAGGCUCGGCCCCACUGAUUCAUCAGCGGAGCAAACUUCCUGCCCCCACCUGCCCCCACUCGGCUCACGCUCCCGUCAGCCAGAGCUCGGGGAAGAGGGUGAGGCCCUCCUGCUUGCACAGCGUCCCGGCUCCGACCCCAUGAGGCUGGACGUCUGCUAGGCCGAUGACGGAUGUGACCACAGGCAGACAGUGGGCAUCAGGGCCACAGAAGCCUGGGAUCCGGCGGAAGAGGCCUUAAGAUCAGCAGGCCACGGGGCGCCGUGUGGGGCGGCAGGGAUCGGACGCAGCGUCAGCUUUUUAAGUCCUGUGUGGAUUUUCCUGCACAUUAGCAAAAAGCGUAGAGCAUCAAAACCUCGACGGAAGGAUUUCAUCUCUUGUGGCCGAAGACUGGUGAGGAGGGCCGUUAGCCCCCGGCUGGCCGAACGGAAAGCGCCAGGCGCGUCGUGGACCGGCCCGGCUGAAAUUCUGCCGUGGCCGGUGGGUGACGGAGGCGUGGGGAGCAUCCAUCUAGCCCAGGGCUCUGCGAACUGUUUCUGGAAAGGGCCAGAGGGUAAAUAUUUAGGCUCUGUGGCCAGCGGUCUCUGCUACAUCCUCUCUGUUGCAAAAGUCACAGGAGACACGACGUGAACGAGUGGGCGUGGCCGAGCCACAAUGAAACUUGAUUUAUGGACCUGAAAUCUGACUUGGGUGCAGCCUCCACAGGUCGUCUUCCCCUCCCCCCACCCCAGCCACUUACGAAUGUUAAAACCGGGGCACCCGCGCGGCUCGGUCGGUUGAGCAUCUGACUUUGGCUCAGCUCACGAUCUCACGGUUGGUGGGUCGGAGCCCCGCGUCGGGCUCUGUGCUGACAGCUCGGAGCCUGCUGUGGAUCAUGUGUCUCCCUCCCUCUCUCUGCCCCUCUCAAAAUAAAUAAAUAAACUUUAAAAAUGACUAAAU